GCCAUUUUGGUUGUUGAUGCUACACUUUGUUUCCACGUCAGUGUUGACAUUUCGCUGUUUAUCCCGCACGUAUCUCACGUUCUGCACGAUGUAUGCUUCUGUUGCUUUGGCCUAUCAUCAAGUUCACAAACACUUCUCCACACAAUCGUAAAGGUUGUCAAGACUGGAGACGGUUUU
rnacentral:misc_RNA from 1 species